GGGGGCAUGUGAUCGAGAGAGGGAAAGAGCCAGAAGAAUCAAAACCCUAACAACCCAAAAUCCAUCAAAUUGAAAGGGAAAUUGAAGGUUAAUCGUAUGCAUGAACUAGGAAUGUUAAUCACUUGAGGAUCUCCAACAUCAAGGUCGAAGAAAGGAGCGGAAUCAAACCAAGCAAAGGCAAUAGGAGCGCACGACUCCGGUGAAUCUCACCCUUGUUAAUGGCGAGCUUGGAUCGAACACACCACAUCGCCCUUUUAUGCGCUUCCGGUUUAAGUCGUCUUUGUAAAUGGGUCAAAACACUUUCAUAAUUUAAAUGUUAAGUUUAUGUCUGUGAUGUUUCGUAAGUAAGUUAGGAUUUUAAAUCUUAUUUUGGUAGUUCGGUCAAAAACAUUUUUGAUGGAAUCUUAUUUUAGUUUGAAUGGUGAUUGUUAA
rnacentral:lncRNA from 1 species